rnacentral:sRNA from 1 species
GAGUGUGUCCUGCCUGGUCCUCUGCCUGGUGGGGUGGGGGUGCCAGGUGUGUCCAAAGGAGCCCAGUCGGUAGUGAGGCAGCUAUGGGGCUAGAAGCACUGGUGCCCCUGGCCGUGACAGUGGCCAUCUUCCUGCUCCUGGUGGACCUGAUGCACCGGCGCCAACGCUGGACUGCACGCUACCCACCGGGCCCCCUGCCACUGCCCGGACUGGGCAACCUGCUGCACGUGGACUUCCAGAACACACCAUACUGCUUUGACCAGUUGCGGCGCCGCUUCGGGGACGUGUUCAGCCUGCAGCUGGCCUGGACGCCGGUGGUCGUGCUCAAUGGGCUGGCGGCCGUGCGCGAGGCGCUGGUGACCCGCGGCGAGGACACCGCCGACCGCCCGCCUGCACCCAUCUACCAGGUCCUGGGCUUCGGGCCGCGUUCCCAAGGGGUGAUCCUGGCACGCUACGGGCCCGCAUGGCGCGAGCAGAGGCGCUUCUCCGUGUCCACCUUGCGCAACUUGGGCCUGGGCAAGAAGUCGCUGGAGCAGUGGGUGACCGAGGAGGCCUCCUGCCUCUGUGCCGCCUUCGCCGACCACUCCGGACGCCCCUUUCGCCCCAACGGCCUCUUGAACAAAGCCGUGAGCAACGUGAUCGCCUCCCUCACCUGUGGGCGCCGCUUCGAGUACGACGACCCUCGCUUCCUCAAGCUGCUGGACCUAGCUCAGGAGGGAUUGAAGGAGGAGACGGGCUUCCUGCGCGAGGUGCUAAAUGCCAUCCCCGUCCUCCUGCACAUCCCCGGGGUGGCUGGCAAGGUCUUACACUCCCAAAAGGCUUUCCUGGCCCAGCUGGAUGAGCUGCUGACUGAGCACAGGAUGAUCUGGAACCCAGCCCAGCCACCCCGAGACCUAACUGAGGCCUUCCUGGCAGAGAUGGAGAAGGCCAAGGGGAACCCUGAGAGCAGCUUCAAUGAUGAGAACCUGCGCAUGGUGGUGGCUGACCUGUUCCUUGCCGGGAUGGUGACCACCUCGACCACGCUGGCCUGGGGCCUCCUGCUCAUGAUCCUACACCCGGAUGUUCAGCGUAAGCCCAGCUGGGGCCCAGUGCAGGGGGCAAGGGAAGAAGGGUACAGGAGGCGGCCCCUGAGCUUAGCUGGGACACCCGGGGCUCCAAGCAUAGGCUUGGCCAGGCUCCUGUAAGCCUAACCUCCUCCAACACAGGAGGAAGGAGAGCGUCAGGGCUGGUCCCCUGGGUGCUGACCCAUUGUGGGGACGCAUGUCUGUCCAGGCCGUGUCCAACAGGAGAUCGACGACGUGAUAGGGCAGGUGCGGCGACCAGAGAUGGGUGACCAGGCUCGCAUGCCCUACACCACUGCCGUGAUUCAC